rnacentral:rRNA from 1 species
CAUUCGAGUGGCGGACGGGUGAGUAACGCGUGGGUAACCUGCCUUACACAGGGGGAUAACACCUGGAAACAGGUGCUAAUACCGCAUAAGCGCACAGGGCCGCAUGGCCCGGUGUGAAAAACUCCGGUGGUGUAAGAUGGACCCGCGUCUGAUUAGCUUGUUGGCGGGGUAGGGGCCCACCAAGGCGACGAUCAGUAGCCGGCCUGAGAGGGUGAACGGCCACAUUGGGACUGAGACACGGCCCAAACUCCUACGGGAGGCAGCAG